UUGGAAAAUUUUCGGGUGUUUGUGAGACAUUUGGUCAGUGAUGAUUUCGAUCAAAAUCGAGUGUUGAUCUGAGACCUUUAUCACCGAUAACUGGUUGCAUCUUCACUACUUGAACGUUUUGGGUUGGUUUUCCGACGUCCUCGACCCGAUUCCGACGAGACUUCAGAUAUUAGGGUUUCUACUGCUCGGAACUGGCAUUUUUCUGUUAAUCGAAGGUCGAUCUUCUCCGAUCGCGAAGAAGGAGGGUAAAUAUGUUCCUGUUUUAGGUGCUAUAUGAUUUGCAUGAG
rnacentral:lncRNA from 1 species